rnacentral:rRNA from 1 species
UUCCUACGGGACGCAGCAGUGAGGAAUAUUGGUCAAUGGACGCAAGUCUGAACCAGCCAUGCCGCGUGCAGGAUGACGGCUCUAUGAGUUGUAAACUGCUUUUGUACGAGGGUAAACCCCGAUACGUGUAUCGGGUUGAAAGUAUCGUACGAAUAAGGAUCGGCUAACUCCGUGCCAGCAGCCGCGGUAAUACGGAGGAUCCGAGCGUUAUCCGGAUUUAUUGGGUUUAAAGGGUGCGUAGGCGGGCUUUUAAGUCAGCGGUAAAAAUUCGGGGCCCAACCCCG